rfam:Streptomyces regalis strain NRRL 3151 P010contig181.1, whole genome shotgun sequence.
GCCCGGUUACAUUCCGAACCCGGAAGCUAAGCCUUACAGCGCCGAUGGUACUGCAGGGGGGACCCUGUGGGAGAGUAGGACGCCGCCGAAC